rnacentral:sRNA from 1 species
ACGAACAUGGUAUACUAACAAACGACAGUAGAGUUUAUGACGGUGGCUAUCCAAUUAAAAGUGAGGGGGGAUGCGUAUGUGCGUACUUCCAAAAUCCAGAGAGAGGAGAAGCCUUUUUGCCUGUUGAAUCAGCUUUGGAGCUAAUGAUCGGUUUCGGUUCGUUAAUCGCAACGAUCAUUU